AAUAUAGACAUUUGUUCUGAAUGUGAUCACCUGUAACAGAAACAUGUCCUUUGGGGCCACUGCUAUGAGAAGGUGGGCAGGGACACUGCAGAAGUCAGACGACAGAUAGGGAAACAAGAGGGCCCUUUUAAGGCUCCCACUGUAGAGACUAUGGUGUUGUACAUGGGAGCGACGCUGUCUGAACAAGAUCAGGGUGAGGAUCAUAGAACGAGACAGGAAGCAGCCAUCCUGGUUCACCCACAAUUAA
rnacentral:lncRNA from 1 species